rnacentral:rRNA from 1 species
CUGCAGAUGGAUCAUUUCGAUGAAAACCUUUUUCUUGAGGUGCGGCCCGCACCUGUCUAACUAAAAUUGGGCUACCACAUUUUAACACGGUUGCAUCGGUUGGCUGUCAAACAGUGCGGAGCCUUCGCGGGCUCGGCUGGGAGGCGGUCGACAAUUUACCAAAAACACUGUUGAUACCAUAGGAUUUGAACGUAGAUGAACUCGACUGGUAAUGCGGUCGUCUAAAUCUAAAAACAACUUUUGGCAACGGAUCUCUUGGUUCUCCCAUCGAUGAAGAACGCAGCGAAUUGCGAUAAGUAAUGUGAAUUGCAGAAGUGAAUCAUCGAAUCUUUGAACGCACCUUGCGCUCCCGGCAGAUCUAAUCUGGGGAGCAUGCCUGUUUGAGGGCCGCGAAUUGUUUCGAACGGCAGCUUUCUUGUUUACGAGAAGGUUGGCGGAUCGGUAUUGAGGGUCUUGCCAUUUCACGAUGGCUCCCUCGAAAUGCAUUAGCGCAUCCAUUCGAUAGGCAAGACGGACGAAAGCUCGCAUUUCGCUCACGUCUUCCCUGCCGGGUUUUGAUAAUAUCAGGACUUCGGAGGUGAAGGCGAGGGUGGUGGGCUGGACGCGACGUUUUGCUGGUUGGAGUGCUUCUGAACCCCGCCCAUGCCUCGUCAAGAGGAAGGGAUUUUUUCAAUUCAUCGGCCUCAGAUUGGUAGGACUACCCGCUGAACUUAAGCAUAUCAAUAAGCGGAGGAAAAGAAACUAACAAGGAUUCCCCUAGUAACGGCGAGUGAAGAGGGAAGAGCCCAAGAUUGAAAGCUGGCGUCUUCGGCGUCCGCAUUGUAAUCUCAAGAAGUGUUUUCCGCUUCGGACCAAGCCUAAGUCCCUUGGAAAAGGGCAUCAUAGAGGGUGAUAAUCCCGUACAUGGCUUGGAGCGCCCGAGGCUUUGUGAUACGCUUUCUAAGAGUCGAGUUGUUUGGGAAUGCAGCUCAAAAUGGGUGGUAAAUGCCAUCUAAGGCUAAAUAUUGGGGAGAGACCGAUAGCGAACAAGUACAGUGAUGGAAAGAUGAAAAGAACUUUGAAAAGAGAGUUAAACAGUACGUGAAAUUGCCAAAAGGGAAGGGUAGGAGGUCAGAGAUGCGGCCUGGGAUUCAGCCUUGCUUUUGCUUGGUGUUUUUCCCAGAUUGCAGGCCAACGUCGGUUUUGGGCACUGGAGAAGGGUAGGAGGAACGUGGCACCUCUCGGGGUGUGUUAUAGCCUCCUACUGGAUACAGCGACCGAGACCGAGGAAAGCAGCGUACUCGUAAGAGCGGGCCCUCGGGUACCUUUACGCUUAGGGCGUUGGCAUAAUGGCCCUCUACCACCCGUCUUGAAACACGGACCAAGGAGUCU